GAUGAACGCUGGCGGCGUGCCUAAUACAUGCAAGUCGAGCGAACAGACGAGGAGCUUGCUCCUCUGACGUUAGCGGCGGACGGGUGAGUAACACGUGGAUAACCUACCUAUAAGACUGGGAUAACUUCGGGAAACCGGAGCUAAUACCGGAUAAUAUAUUGAACCGCAUGGUUCAAUAGUGAAAGACGGUUUUGCUGUCACUUAUAGAUGGAUCCGCGCCGCAUUAGCUAGUUGGUAAGGUAACGGCUUACCAAGGCAACGAUGCGUAGCCGACCUGAGAGGGUGAUCGGCCACACUGGAACUGAGACACGGUCCAGACGCCUACGGGAGGCAGCAGUAGGGAAUCGUACGCAAUGGGCGAAAGCCUGACGGAGCAACGCCGCGUGAGUGAUGAAGGUCUUCGGAUCGUAAAACUCUGUUAUGAGGGAAGAACAAAUGUGUAAGUAACUAUGCACGUCUUGACGGUACCUAAUCAGAAAGCCACGGCUAACUACGUG
rnacentral:rRNA from 1 species